AAGUCACUUGUCCCAGCUUCAGCUGUCUUGUGUAAGAUGCACAGCUUUCUGACUUCUGAAAGUCAAACUUGUGUGACCUCUUGUCAUUUUACUUCAGUGUUGAACUGAAAUUCCAAUGAGAGCUUAUGGUCAUAACGCAGCUUUGCAGUCCAGCACAAUAAUGCGGAAGGUCUCUGCCACCAAUCUUCAUAACUUAUUCUUUACAUUCCCUUUGCUGCACAACUCCUAUGUUUUAACUGGGUUACCUUUUACGUAAAAACAUUACUAGUUCUGCAGACUCUCAGUGUGCUUUCCCUGAAGAAAAUCAAAUCCAGAAUAGGGCAUAUCUGUCAAGGAACUUUGUGAGCAUAUCCUGUAGACACAUCUUUUCACUCGGUGGUUUGAGAGUUGUUAUAUACAUUCGAUUCCUGCAAACCCUAAGAGGUAGUAGGGAGAGAAACACCACAAACUGUGGUAAAAAUAGAUUUAUGCCUUUGAUAAUUACAAGGGAUGCCAAAUAGAGUAAUAGAUCAGAAUUUUAUUGAGCCACCUCGGACACAGCGUAAGUAUGUCUUGAGUAUUUAGGAAAUUUUGCUAAUACAACUUUAGCGGCCUCAGCGUGCCCUGCAACACAGUUCUCAACUUCAGAGUUACAGGCUGAGCUAGAUUCUCUGCUACAGAUGUGCUCUGUUUGACAGCAGAGAGAAAGUAUAAGCAAGCAGCCUGUGCUGACCACUGAGCAGCGUUCCCCUUCCAGGUGACUGAUCAGGACAGCUUUAGGGCAAUUAUAGGUCACCCUCAUGUGACCCUCUGGUAUUUAUCCUCUCUUCCUCCCCAUGCAGUAGCUGCAUUCCUUUCGAUGGCCUGAGCAUCCCACUUCUCGCACAAGCAGAAGACGUGAGAGGAUGGAGAGAACCUGCUCCCCGGAUUUCUUGAAGAGGGCUGUGAUGGCACAUGGUUACCAGUGGAGGUCCCACAAGAACUCCGCAUCAGUAAGCAUCACCUCUGCACAGACAAAACAGGCAUCUGCUCUGUAUGCAAGCAGAUACUGUUGUAUUCAAUUUGUUCUCAUAGACCAGUACAAGAGCUAAAAGCAGGUAUGGAAGCUGAGAUAUUAAUCUCUUCAUGUCAUGGCAGGAGCUGGACUCUGAGGCUUAGAUUACCUAAAAUAUAACUUGGCCCUGCAGCUGCCGGGAAUCUUGUUCAGAUGUGCUAAUAUGUUGGCAUGUGAUUAUUGAAUGUGUUGCACUAGGAAGAUGGACCAGGGAGAAGAGCAGGUAGUAUUAACUUCACUGCUGCUAGGGAAGUCCUUGUAGAUGCUUGGAUUAAUGAUGAUUUCAAGUUAUUUAUAAAUCAAAUAAAAUCAUGCAGCUCUUCAGCUAGUUCUGCCAACACACACAGUUCUUUCUCUGUCCUCCCAGAAAGCUGAGCCAGUCAAAAUCUAAAUGCUCCUGAAGGUGUGAGAGAGUUAGCCAAAUCCUUUGCAGCAUAAAGCAUGACUUGGGCACAACUGAGAUCUGAAUUUCAGACACUCCCCAGCUGACUGUGGGCCGAGGGAAAACUUUUCCUCAGACACUUCCAGACUUAAAGUUCUCUGGGCUUUGAGUCAUUCCUACUGUUUCUAAAAUCGCAAUUCAUAGACAGCUGUCUGUGCCAGUCAGGUUUGUUAAGACUAAUGUGUUCUGGGUUUGUUUUAAUUACAGCUUCACAGCACUGCUGCAGUCUGGGGAUUCCUGUUGUUAUGUUCAUUUUCAGUUCACUGGACUCAAUUUUCACAAUAGGAAGGGGCCCUGCUCCUGCAGGAUAGGGUUGUCAGAAGAGUACUUGAAGCUCUGCAGAGAAUCCUUCCUUCCUCAGGAUUCAGUGAAGUUUUCUCUCAAAGUGUGGGUCUCUGAUAAGCAGCUCCUGUUCUGCUUUUUUUCCUCCCUCACUAACAAUUGGAGGAUUGUUUGUUUUCCCACUCUGCAAUGUAACUUCUCCAGCAGAGGUGCCAGAUUGGCUUUGUGGAGGAAGGAGGCCAAACUGCAUGUUAAAUUACAGUCUGUGUUAAUGUAAUUCAGGCCAUAUACCUCCCUGCCUGUUCUCGCUAAUGACAAUGUGCAUGGGGAGGCAGGAGAUUGGGAGGGUUGCAAGGAAAGAUCUGUAAUCUUUGUCCCUCCAACUUCCACCCAGUGAGGUGCUUGAGCACACAUUGAAGAGCAUAAUAUGUUCCCCUGAAUUUGAGAGGCCCAUUCCUGUACACAGAACUAAGUAGAUGUUAAAGUGCUUUUCAUGCGUGGAGCAUAAAUAGAUUUCAUAAAGCCAACUGGCAAAGAAGUUAUAGGGGGGCAAUACUGGAGCAACAGCAGCACGUGAGCAAACAAAGUGUGCAUCUCUGUGACACCUCAACUCUAGUGUGACAAACUGUGGUCCCUAACAAAGCCUUCUCCUUCUUCAGUGGGAGCACUAGGUUCCAUGAAUCGUUAGUGUUGCAACUUUCAGGAGGCAGCAAUAAUAGUGUUGGGCAUGCUAAAAUAAAGUCGCUUCAUCUGACCUGGUGCAGUACAUGGCACCACAUCAGGGUGGAGGAAAUGCCCUCUGGAAAACUAUGAUGCUUAACGAAGGGUGCGCAGCGAGGCUGGACCAGCUGCUCUUCUGGGAUGUGGCUCCACCUGAGCCUGACCCCAGUGCUGGCUGGCACAAGGAGCAGCAAUCCCAGCCUCCUGCCACAACCCAUCCUCCCUCUUUUUACCCAAACCUAGAGCCUCCCAUUAUGAGCUCUUCCCUCCUGUUGUUAUCCUGGCAUGAAAUAGGUCUCCUCUCUCCCGGUGGGACUAAACCCUAUCGUGUUUGCUUGGUGACAAUUGAUGUGCGCAGUAGGCAGAAGGCCCCUGCACUGCUGCCUGGCAUCUUUGCACCAAAUAGCCCCUCUCCUGGUGUGCCUGUAAUCAGUCACCAUUUUUUGUUUUCCCGUGAAAUUUAUUACCAUUUAAAUAGCAUUCCAGCCUGAGAUGUCCUGUGGGGUUUUUGGCUCUGCUCCUCCAUGCUCUGUGAAAUUAAUUCCAUUAAGAUCAUGUCCUCACAGGAAAAUGGUAUGGGUUCAACUAAACUGGUUUAGAAACUGUUUUAAACCCACACAAGACCUUCUGUGCCCCUUUAGUUUUGAGUGGAGCUCUUUCUACAUACUUGGCUUGGGGUAUAAUAUGCUUAGACAGGAAAGAGUUUAUUCCCAACCAAAAUUACAGCACCAAAUCCUACUGUCUGGGCCAAUGUUUUUGACUACUGUGGGCAAAUUCCGUAUUUAACUCAGCAUGUGCUUUUAGGCCUUGAAAAUUUAAAGGCCAGACUGCAAAUACCUUUAAUCAGGAAGCAAUUAAUUGCACAAAUUUCCUCCUUGCAGCCAGUGUAACACUCAACCAGGUAAUACUCCCUGUGAGGCAAUGGCUCAUGCCUGUGCACUACUUUUAUUACUGUAUAUCUCUGCUAAUUAGUUCCUGUUGGAUGGUAGGCCAAGUUGCUACAGGGGGUUCAGAGAAAAGGUUAAGAGGCAAUCAGUUAAGACCAUCUAAAGAUAGCUUUAAGAAGAAAAAUAAAUGGUUUGUUUUCCUGCUGA